GAGUUUGAUCAUGGCUCAGGACGAACGCUGGCGGCGUGCUUAACACAUGCAAGUGGAGCGACGAGCCAGGGCUUGCCCUGGGGCAGAGCCGCGAACGGGUGAGUAACACGUGGGUUACCUGCCUCGAUGACCGGGACAACCCGAGGAAACUCGGGCUAAUACCGGAUGUGCCCGCAAGGGGAAAGGAAGCUUCGGCCUCCGCAUCGAGAUGGGCCCGCGGCCCAUUAGCUUGUUGGUGAGGUAACGGCUCACCAAGGCUUCGAUGGGUAGCUGGUCUGAGAGGACGAUCAGCCACACUGGGACUGAGACACGGCCCAGACUCCUACGGGAGGCAGCAGUGGGGAAUCUUGCGCAAUGCGCGAAAGCGUGACGCAGCAACGCCGCGUGGGGGAAGAAGGCUUUCGGGUGUAAACCCUUUCAGUUGGGACGAAGCUCCGGCGGUGAAUAGCCGUCUCGGAGUGACGGUACCUUCACAAGAAGCACCGGCUAAC
rnacentral:rRNA from 1 species